UUAGUCAAUAGGGGUCAGAUCAACCUCGACAAACAAGCCAUGAAAAGGUAAUCAAAUGGGCUCUUAACCACUGACAUUGAACGUCAGGGUGAGCAGAUCAAAAGGGUAAUGAGGAUAAGACCUCAUAGCUCUUAACCCUGGACAGAGUCAGGGUGAGCAGAUCAAAAGGGUAAUGAGGAUAAGACCUCAUAGCUCUUAACCCUGGACAGGGUGAGCUCAUGACAAAAAGUGGGGAUUCAGGAAGGUGGAACCCUCUCCACUGACUGACCGGACUAAAGAUC
rnacentral:lncRNA from 1 species